GUAAAGGUGAGAACCUGAGGUCCUUUCCUCUACGACUGGCAAUGAUCCAAGUAUGUUCCCUACGACCACUUAUAUUCACCAGGGCACUGGAGGCACCAACCAAUUAAAAAGUUUUCCAGCAUCGCUGCAUACAAGGUCAAUAUAUAGAAUUCAACUGCCUUCAAGACUUCUGGUUCUGGAUUGAGAUGAAGUAAAUGAAUGUCUCCCUGUUCCAUGGCUUUAUACCAGUGACCUGAUUGUAUACUGCUGACUUCCAAGAGCCGUAAGAAGUGAGUUUCUGGGGCUUCCCUGGUGGCGCAGUGGCUGGGAAUCCGCCUGCCGAUGCAGGGGACACGGGUUCGAUCCCUGGUCUGGGAGGAUCCCACGUGCAACUAGGCCCGUGCGCCACAACUACUGAGCCCUCACGCCACAACUGCUAAAGCCAGCGCACCUACAGCCCGUGCUCCACAACAAGAGAAGCCACCGCAAUGAGAAGCCAGCGCACCGCAGCAGAGAGCAGCCCCCCCGCUCGCCGCCACUAGAGGAAGCCAGCAACAAA